CCUAUAGAUAAAAAGAUAAAGAAAAAAGAUUUUAGAAUACGACGAAGAUAUAUAAGCAUAUGCAUACCCCUAUGUGCCCAUGCAUACCUACAUACCCGUAAGGUUUUUUUGGGUUCGGUUGCUAACGGUAGCCGGUGUAUAAGAAGGGGAGUUCCUAUUAUUGUCGGUACUGGAUGAAUGAAAACGUCCCAUUGAAUGUUUGCUUUUUAGUUCCGUCGAACUGGUGGAUGCCCAAGGUUUUUUAUAUAUUUAUUUUAUUAUUAUUAUUUUUUUAUAUUUUUUGGUAGGGUCAAGAGACGGAGAGCACGCGCGCGCGAGAUUGAGAGUGAGAGCGAGAGCGAGGGAGAGAGGGGGGGAGAGAGGGGGAUGUCGGAAGUAAGUAGGUGUGCGGUGGCUACCGCGCCAUCCUACCCUGCCGCCCUAGGCAUUUUCCAACUCCUAUUCACCUCCUCAAACCCGGCGAAGGGCAGAGUGGUGGUAGGAUGGUGAGGGACGAGAGAGAGGGGGGGGAGGGGGAGAGGGAGAGGUUUGAUGGAAAAUUGUCCUUUUGUUCGUAGAAUUGGAGGAUCCAAAAACUGAGCACGAACUAAUUAACGAACGAACGAACGAACGAACGCACGCACGAACGCACGAACGAGAGAGAGAGGGAGAGAGGGAGAGGGGGAUGUCGGAAGUAAGUAGGUGUGCGGUGGCUACCACGCCAUCCUACCCUGCCGCCCUAGGCAUUUUCCAACUCCUAUUCACCUCCUCAAACCCGGCAAAGGGCAGAGUGGUGGUAGGAUGGUGAGGGACAAGAGAGAGGGGGAGAGAGAGGGAGAGUUUCGCUUAAAAUGUAUCCUUUUAUUUGUAGAAUUGGAGGAUUCGAGAAGUUUGAACUGUAAAGGUUGGUCGGGUCAAAAAAUGCAAAUAAGGCUCAAAACAAGACCAGUUUGUCCGAGGGCUCUGGCAAGGUUAGGUGAAACUCCGUAUCCCAUAGGUCUCCCCGGAGGGGGAGGGAGAGGGAGAGUUUCGCUUAAUAUGUAUCCUUUUAUUUGUAGAAUUGGAGGAUUCGAGGAGUUUGAACUGUAAAGGUUGGUCGGGUCAAAAAAUGCAAAUAAGGCUCAAAACAAGACCAGUUUGUCCGAGGGCUCUGGCAAGGUUAGGUGAAACUCCGUAUCCCAUAGGUCUCCCCGGGUCGUCCAACGACUUCCUCGGUUUAAAUAGAGAUCUAAGGCAAGGCACGGGCCGGCGCUUGUCAUUCAUGGUCAAGAUGUCCACAUGCAUUUUUGACCCCAAAAAGUUUUUAGAAGAUUGUUUCGGAUGGUGUUAAGUAAAGGUCUGGAGGACCAUUUGAAGCCAAUAUUGGGCAUUGAUAGAAUUGUUAUUCAUAUUCUGUUGUAGAAGAACCCCCGGAUUGUUUCGGAUGGUAUUCCGUAAAGGUCUGGAGGACCGUUUGAAGCCAAUAUUGGGCAUUGAUAGAAUGUUAUUCAUAUUCUGUAUAGAAGACCCGGAUGUUC
rnacentral:lncRNA from 1 species